UAAAUUAUAAAUUAUUUAAUUUCAAAGGAUUGACGGAAAAUCAAUUCAACUUUCUUAAACUGGAUGUCUCACAGUGGUAUGAUGAACAGAGUUGUCUUCCUAUGUUGAAAGUGUUGUUCAGAGACCGUGUGACAACUGGCAGACUAUCAGAAAUUAGUAGCACAAUGGAGUUGCUGAAUGAAUUGGUUGCACUUGAUCUUUUGAAUGCAAACAAAAUUGCUAUUCUGCAUGAUACCAUCAGCAUAACUGAACAUUUUGGUGUUCAAAGCAAGAUUAAAAAAAGACUACCAUCAUUUCCGGAGGUUAAGGAAGGAACCACUCCGAAACAGUUCACAAAUCACAGACAAAAUGUAAUGAAAUUUGGGAUGAAACUGACUUCAGCUGAUGUAAAAAAAAUUGGUGGAUUUUAUAAUAAGAAGUAUACUGAUUGUUGGAGUAUGAUCAUUGAUCUUGAAGAAAGGAAUCAAAUCUUUGAUGGAAAUAUGGAGGAUUUCAGUGAAUUAUUGAAAAGUCUUGAACUCCAUCAUGCAUUGAACGCACUAUUAAAGUAGGUAACAGAGAAGCAUCAACAUUGAAAAGGCCAAAUUUAGACAAAGAUGUUUCUGCUGUUGAAAAAACAAAACGAAGGGAAACAGAUACCAGUACCAAUGGUGGAAAAUCUAAAGUAAUAUCAAAUUUCAUUUUUGAUAAUUUAUUAAAAAUAAUGAUUGUAUAGAUGUUAAUGGUCGGUCGUAGUAAUCUUAUUGAUUUUGUUAAAAAUAUUUGUUUGUUUUAAUACUCGGUUAUUCCUAGUAAUUUUAAUUUAAUGUUUUCAAAGUAGCACAAUUA